rnacentral:rRNA from 1 species
UGUUUGAUCAUGGCUCAGGACGAACGCUGGCGGCGUGCUUAACACAUGCAAGUCGAACGGUAAGGCCCCUUCGGGGGUACACGAGUGGCGAACGGGUGAGUAACACGUGAGCAACCUGCCCUUGACACUGGGAUAAGCGAUUGAAAAGUCGUCUAAUACCGGAUAUGACUCUCACAGGCAUCUGUGAGGGUGGAAAUGCUCCGGCGGUCAAGGAUGGGCUCGCGGCCUAUCAGCUUGUUGGUGAGGUAACGGCUCACCAAGGCUUCGACGGGUAGCCGGCCUGAGAGGGCGACCGGCCACACUGGGACUGAGAUACGGCCCAGACUCCUACGGGAGGCAGCAGUGGGGAAUAUUGCGCAAUGGGCGAAAGCCUGACGCAGCAACGCCGCGUGCGGGAUGACGGCCUUCGGGUUGUAAACCGCUUUCAGCAGGGACGAAGGGUUUCUGACGGUACCUGCAGAAGAAGCACCGGCCAACUACGUGCCAGCAGCCGCGGUGAUACGUAGGGUGCGAGCGUUGUCCGGAAUUAUUGGGCGUAAAGAGCUUGUAGGCGGUUUGUCACGUCGGAAGUGAAAACUCAGGGCUUAACCCUGAGCCUGCUUCCGAUACGGGCAGACUAGAGGAAGGUAGGGGAGAAUGGAACUCCUGGUGGAGCGGUGGAAUGCGCAGAUAUCANGAAGAACACCGGUGGCNNA